UCCCUCUUGAGAUAAAAAAAAGAAAUCGGUGUGCAAAAAGUGGUGGUCUGGUCAGUGUUAGCCCGAUAGGUACGGCGGGUGUGGCGUGCACCGGCCUGUUAUCCUUCCACCGUCAAGAGCGGGAGGUUAUCGCUGCUCUGUGAAACCAGCCUGACGCGGUGUCCUCCGCUUUAGGAUCCCAGAUAGCUCGGGCCUUCGUUCGAGCCACAUAGCUCAGCUGCCUGACUUGGAACGGGCAAGCCAAGUCUAGCACGACCGCACCCAACCUAUUCGGGCUGAACACAACAUUCCACCACCUUAUUGCCCCCACUAGGGUUACAAGCCGGCGUUACCGGGCUCGGCGAUCGAGGCGCUUCCACAACUUCAUAUAGCCUGUCAGUGAAUCCUAAAAAUUGGCGAUGUGGGACUAAAAACGCUCCCUCCUUUUUCCUUUCCGAACAUUCGUGCACCGCAUGCUUUCCAGGAGAAACCCGAAUUGCAUCUAAAGUUUCGAUCAUGGUUCCCCACCACCUAAAACCAUUCCAUCCCCUUCGAACAGACCAACAGAAGAUGCCCUGCAGACCCCUCCAGAUUACCCGACUCCUAAUCUUGAAACCUCGAAACCCAAUGCUCUCCUGCAUCGGGGAUUCAACAUGUUUCGAGCUAAAUUUCUCCUACAUCAGCUGACCGCAAUGCUGUAACUUUGGUGAUGAUGAAGAGGUGUAAGCUGAUAAAUGCUAUAACAAUGCCCGAAUACGUUGUCGGCCUCGUUGCAGAAGAGGAUCGACUUUUAGAUUGUGAAUCUGUGUCUUUGAACAUAGAUGCGCUAGCAUGUAUAUAAACCAUUACUUCUUAAUUCGAUGACAUUAAUAAAUAUAAUUGAUACGUCAUAUUUUGGCCUCGAAGACAUAUCAGGUCAGAAUCCAUACUAAGGCACUGCUUGACACGUCACAUCUUGGGAACCACAAGACACGCCAAGUCAGAAUCCAUACUAAGGCACUGCUCGGCAUGUCACGCCUCAGGAACCCCGAGACGGCGCCGCCCCCAAGACACGCCAAGUCAGAAUCUGUACUAAGGCACUGCUCGGCACGUCUACCAUGCCAAACCUCGUACGACUGACCCACGUACAAUAAUAUAAAGACCUCUGGCCGGCAUCUGGCUAGGAGGGGAAAAAAGGUGGUAAAAUCAAUUGAUCACUCUACUGACUUGUUCGUCAGAGGGUUCUCGUCGGGAAUCACCCAACGAGGGCCAUUUUUGAAGGAAAAUGCAGCCACCUCACGAAGACGAGCUACCAACCACCCGAGAAUCCCCAUCCAGUGCACGAAGGAGAGCAGCCAAUCGGUCCAUAUCCUAAACAAUGCCAACCAGUACUCCUUCUCGAGGGCUUGACCACCUCACGAAGAUGAGCUGCCAACCACCUCAGAAAAAGAGAGACGUAGCUCGACAUACACGACGCUCGGAUCGGCACACCAAGGAACACUGAUCAACACCCCAUUGCAAGGGCCCGAUAGACCUCGAUAUCCAACUCAACCGAUAGAAGACUCCCGACAUCGACCCGUAGACCAGGCUGUGCUAACUCACAAGCCACAGCACAUUUGUUUACUAACAUUUUGACGCUAGAAGGAGGGCAUGUCGCAAGAGCAACAGAUAGGGGUCCUCCCCGAGGGAGAACCACCGACCGACCUCCCUUUUGUUAAACCAAAAAGUCAGGCCUUCCCCACCCCCGGAGACAGGAGGAUCCCGGCUUCGAUGCUAGAUCGCUACUGUCGUCUGUUCAACGACCCGGGAUUGUCACCCCCGAGGCUCACCAUAGGGCCCUCGGUCGUGACACCCGAGGCAUUCCUUAGCCUAACCAAGCAAGUACAGGCCAUGGCGGGCAUGAUGUAGACGCUCGCUCCAAUCAUUCCUCAGAUCGUGCGGCUAGCGACGCCCCCGACCGACCCGUCCCAACAGCGACCGAACAGGGAGCAGGUCGGGACUGGAGAAGCCCAAGAGCAAGCAACGGACUCGAGAGGUCCGCCCGAGUAGAGCAUACUCGCACCCUGCCGAAUCACACCGCUCCACUCCGAGCCCGACACCAUAUCGUCCGACUCGGUGGAUGACUCGUUCAGGAUCCAGUUGUCUCGGAUCAACCAACGCUUGGAUGAGUUCCAGCGCGAGUUCCAGAAAUCGCGAUGCAAGUCGAAUGAAGGCGGCUCGGGCGAAUCGCCUUUCACUCAGGAAAUACAUGACAAGCCUGUACCACUCGACUUUAGGUUGCCCACAUUAGAGAUGUACGACGGCGGCUCUGACCCCGCAGAGCAUGUCGUCAUGUUUCGGGCUCAGCUAUGGCACCUCCAAUGCAUUGAUGUGUCGGGAAUUCCCGACCACCUUCAGGGGCCAGCACGAGCGUGAUUCAACCGGCUGCGCCAGUCCUCAGUCUCAUCCUUCGACCAGCUCACAAGGGAGUUCGAGCAAAACUUCCUCACCAACGUGCAACCCAAGCCUUCUAUCGCUACACUGCUGGCGUUAUCUCAACACGAGGAUGAGUCGCUCUCUCAGUUCGUGGCACAUUUAGCCACCGAGAUCUAUGAAUUUUCGGACGCUCAUCUCUCUCUAAUAAUGCAGGUGUUUCUGAUGGGCUUGAAACCUUCAAGGUUCUUUUGGUCACUAAUCGAGAAGCCUCCAGUAACCAUCCCCGAGAUGCUCCAAUGCGUCAACCAGUACAUCGCCGCCAAAGCUCUGGUGGUGGGAAAGUGCAUGGACAGCAAGAGGCCAAGGGCGAAACAAUCCCGGGGAACGACUUCCGUAGCCCCAGUGCAACCCCGCUAGAGGCUUGACUGACAAGAGCUACUGCUCCUGAGGCCCCCGCCUCUCCCUCUGAGCAUGUUCCACCAGGACUAUGACCACGGCACGGAAGAUUGCUGUGACCUCCAGAAUCAAAUCGAGGACUUGAUCCGAAAAGGUUAUCUCAAGUGCUAUGUCAAGGAAACCCGAGAAGCAACUCCAUGUCCUAGGGGACCCUUCGAAAGACGCCUCAUCAUCCAAAAUAUCAUGUCGAAAAGCCACUCGCGACAAGAGGUCCACAAGCUCGCCAGAUCGGUUCCCGACCUGCGACUCGCCGACCCAUCUCUUGCCUGAGCCGCUCUAGAUCGGUUCCCGACCUGUGCCUUGCCGGCCCAGCUUUUGCCCAAGUUGCUCCAGAUCAGUUCUCGACCUGCAGCUCGCCAGCCCAGCUCUUGCCCGAGUUGCUCUAUAUCGAUUCCCGACCCGCGGCUCGCCGGCCGAGCAUUUGUCCGAGCCGCUCCAGAUUGGUUCCCGACCUAUGGCUCACCGGCCCAGCUCUCAUUCGAGUCGCCCCAAAUCGGUUCCCGACCUGCAGCUCGCCGGCCCAGCUCUUGCCCGAGCCGCUCCAGAUCGGUUCCCGUCCUGCGGCCCGUUGGCCCAGCUCUUACCCAAGUCGCUCAAGAUUAGUUCUCGACCUCAGGCUCGCCGGCCUAGCUCUUGCCUGAGCCGCUCUAGAUCGAUUCUCGACCUGCGGCUCGCCGGCCUAGCUCUUGCCCAAGCGGCUCCAGAUCGGUUCUCGACCUGUGCCUCGCGGGCUCAGCUUUUGCCCGAGUCACUCCAGAUCGGUUCCCGACCUACGGCUCGUCGGCCCAACUCUCACCCGAGUAGCUCCAGAUCGGUUCUCGACUUGUGGCUCGCCAGCCCAACUCUUGCCCGAGCCACUCCAGAUCGGUUUCCGACCUGCGGCUCGUCGGCCCAACUCUUGCCCGAGUUGCUCUAGAUCGAUUCCCGACUUGCGGCUCUCUAGCCCAGCUCUUGCCCGAGCCAUCCAGAUCGAUUCCUGACCUGCGGGUAGCCAGCCCAGCUCUUGCCCAAGCGCUCUAGAUAAGUUCCUGACCUGUGCCUCGCUGGCCCAGUUCCUGCCCGGGUUGUUCCAGUUUGCUCCUGACUUUCGAUUCGGAGUCGAGCUUACUCACUUGGUCCCCAGAUUCAAUUCGGAGCCGAGCUUACUCACUCGGUCCCCAUAUCCGAUUCGGAGCCAAGCUUACUCACUCGGUCCCUAGGUUCAAUUCGGAGCCGAGUUUACUCACUCGGUCCCUAUGUUCAAUUCGGGGAGCCGAGCUUACUCACUUGGUCCCCAGAUUCAAUUCGGAGCCGAGCUUACUCACUCGGUCCCCAUAUUCGAUUCAAAUUCGAGCUUACUCACUUAGUCCCUAGGUUCAAUUUGGAGCCGAGCUUAGUCACUCGGUCCCUAGAUCCGAUUUAGAGCCGAGCUUACUCACUCGGUCUCCAGAUUCGAUUCGGAGUCGAGCUUACUCACUCGGUCCCCAGAUCCGAUUCAGAGCCGAGCUUACUCACUCAGUCCCCAGGUUCAAUUCGGAGCAGAGCUUAGUCACUCGGUCCCCAAGUUCAAUUCAGAGCUGAGCUUAUUCACUUGAUCCCCAGGUUCAAAUCGGAGAUAAGCUUAUUCACUCGGUCCCUAGGUUUGAUUCGGAGUCGAGCUUACUCACUCGGUCCCCAGGCUUAAUUCGGAGCCGGGCUUACUCACUCGGUCACCAGGUUCAGUUUGGAGCCGAGCUUAGUCACUCAAUCCCCAGGUUCAAUUCAGAGUCGAACUUAUUCACUCGAUCCCCAGGUUCAAAUCAGAGAUGAGCUUAGUCACUCAGUCCUCAGGUUCAUUUCUUGCUCGGGUCGCUCCAGAUCGCUCCCGACUUGCUACCCAUCGACACCGAAACCCGAGCCCGAGCUCGGUCACUCGACCCAUAGGCCCAAUCCAGUGUCCGAGCCACGCAUCUCAGCCAAUCCAACGCCCGAGUCGCAUCUCGGCCAAAUCCAAUGCCCGAGUCGCAUCUCGGCCAAAUCCAGCAUCCGAGCCACGCACCUCGGCCAUCCAACACCCGAGCCACGCAACUCGGCCAAUCUAACGCCCGAGUCGCAUCUUGGCCAAAUCCAAUGCCCGAGUCACAUCUCGGCCAAAUCCAACGUCCAAGCCACACACCUCGGCCAUCCAAAGCUCGAGCCACGCAUCUCGGCCAAUCCAAUGCCCAAGUCGUAUCUCGGCCAAUCCAAUACCCAAGUCGCAUCUCGACCAAAUCCAACGUCCAAGCCAUGCACAUUGCCCAUCCAAUGCCCGAGCCACGCAUCUCGACCGAUCCAACACCCGAGUAGCAUCUUGGCCGGUCCAAACGCCCGAACCACACAUCUUGGCCGAUCCAAUGCCCGAGCCAUACCUUGCGGCCAAUCUUAUGCCCGAGUCACAUCUCGAUCGAUCCAACGCCCGAAUCACCGGCCUAGUCUGUUAAUCCAAGUCGCUCCACGUCAACCCCUGACUAGCUACCCGUCAAGUCUCUAAACCGAGCCACCCCGGCUCGCUCGCCAACUUGCAAACUCGGCAGUUGUAACACCAAGUCGUGCCAAACCCGUUAUCUAACCUACGACACGUCGGUGUCGCCUCGUCGGUUUCGCCACGUCGGUUUCGACACGUUGGUUUUGCCUCGUCAGGCCCCUGCCUCCUGAUCAGUAGAGUCGAUCUUGCACGAAGCAUGGGGCGCUACCCUUCUAAAUCGCCCCAUGACGAGUUAAUCCAACUUCCCCUCAUGAACGAUCAGCCUCACUUCGAAGUAUCAUAUAAUAAUAUUUGGGCAUGGAAAGUUAUAAUGUCCUCCAUUGGGUUAGCAUUGCCAUCGAAUGCCUCCAACGACGAUGGUGGAAGAUUGUUAGAAUCGAUUCUUCCUGAAUUUUCUAGGUGAAUGAUGAUCGACUCGAGGUGGAGUCAACCAACGCUUCCUUUUUGGAUUAUUAAAUUUUUUAUCAUAUCUCCUCUAAAUGUCGGUCCAUCUAUGAUAGUUGGAUUCGCAAGGAAUCCUUCAUCAAUUUCGUCAACCUAGCCUCUGAUUUAAGCAUGAUAGAGUCAUGAUGUGGUAUGUUAAAUUUAUGGUGAUGGAGCGAAGUACUCUCUUGACCAUGAUUGGAUAGGUUUCGGGUACUCUUAGGAUGUCAACAUUAUGUUGGGUGGGGGAACAUUGAUUGGUGGGUGAGCUAUUGGGCUAACUAGCGUAAAUGUUAGAGAUUUUAAUAUAUAGAAUAUGCAUACUUGCAAGGCAUCUCAUGUAUGUCAAUUGUUGCAACCCCUUUUUUUUCUUAUUUAAGAUCCCUUCUGUUUUUUGAAUCAUAAUUAUAUUUUAACUGUUUUUUAAUAUUUAAUUCCUUCCAUCGAAAGAAAUGAACUUGAAUAACGAGAUGAUAUAAUAAAAGACACAAUAUCAACAAAAAUUUCUCAAGACCUACGUAAAGAAAAAAAAAUUCUUUGUAAAAAGAGAAAAAGCUAUAUUAAUUAGCAAAAACUAAAAAAAACGAAGAGCCGUUAGUAGCCUCCGAGGAAGAACAAAAAGUGGGUCAGCCUAUNNNNNNNNNNNNNNNNNNNNUCAACUAUGCUAAUGAUCAUGUUAGUGCGAUGGGUUCACUCUGUCAUUUGCCUACGCAUACAAUAUAUACUUUAGAAAACACAUAUAUAUUGAAAUUGUAUAGUUCGUCGUGAUUCUUUCUAAUCCCACACCAUGUGCCUUUACCGGAUGAUGAGAUGGGACAUUCCUUGGUAUCGCAGUAAAGUCAGAGGUCAUUCGUUAGAGGAUUUAUUAUAUUAAUUAUUGAGAGAUUAUAGAUUUUUUUUUAUCUUUAUUUUUUAUUUUUAAUUCAUUACUCAUAAUAAUCUUAUUAAAGAUAAAAAGAGAAGAGAAUGGGACUACAGUAGUGUUGUUGUGGGCGACAACUAUAGCAACAUCGAUACCACUAGGGUGAUUGUUGUAGCUUGUUGCGAUCGUAGCAUUACCGUUGCUUAGGGCAACUACAGCAAUGUCAUUGCGGUAUUUGUUGGCCACGGUCGAUGUCAACUAGACGUAAAAGACCAUGAUACUCAGCGGUUGCAUGACAAACUCGUAAGUAUUAGUGGGUGCCACAAUGACUAUGUGGUUGCUAGUUGAUACAAAAUCACGUAUGGCUGCGAUGACGAUGAGGUCGUUGAUUAGUCACAUGCGAAGAGCUAUGCACCGGUAACGAAUGACUAGUGCUCCAAGUGUGGGCAUAGUGGGAUGCGAUGACAACAUGAGAAUUUUUUUUUUUUUUAAGUAUAUUUUUAUCUUGAUAUAAGAAAAUUAUAUCUCCUAAGGGCUCUUCACUGAUUUAAUCACCUGAGGAGAAGCGCAAGUAAAAUUCUCCAGCAUCAUUAGAAUCCAUGAAGUAAUAACGAAUUACGGUCAGACCUAAACAAAAGAGGAAUCUCUGUGGCGUGCACCGGUGUGCAAAAAGUGGUGGUCUGGUCAGUGUUAGCCCGAUAGGUACGGCGGGUGUGGCGUGCACCGGCCUGUUAUCCUUCCACCGUCAAGAGCGGGAGGUUAUCGCUGCUCUGUGAAACCAGCCUGACGCGGUGUCCUCCGCUUUAGGAUCCCAGAUGGCUCGGGCCUUCGUUCGGGCCACAUAGCUCAGCUGCCUGACUUGGAACGGGCAAGCCAAGUCUAGCACGACCGCACCCAACCUAUUCGGGCUGAACACAACAUCCCACCACCUUAUUGCCCCCACUCGGGUUACAAGCCGGCGUUACCGGGCUCGGCG
rnacentral:lncRNA from 1 species